GACGAACCGAGCGAACGUUGUUCGGAAUCACUGGGCUUAAAGGGCGCGUAGGCGGGUGCUCAAGUCUGUGGUGAAAUCCUCCGGCUCAACCGGAGAACUGCCAUGGAUACUGGGUGUCUCGAGGGGUGGUAGGGGUAUGCGGAACUAUUGGUGGAGCGGUGAAAUGCGUUGAUAUCAAUAGGAACUCCGGUGGCGAAGGCGGCAUACUGGACCACUUCUGACGCUGAGGCGCGAAAGCCAGGGGAGCAAACGGG
rnacentral:rRNA from 1 species